UUUGACGAUUACUCAAACUGAUUCUUCCUCGCUGGUUGCUGUAUUCUUUUAAGAGGAGUCAAUGUGUUUAAGCUGUUAAAACAGUUCUCUAUGGUUAAUUUUGUUUUGGUUGAUUGGCUGUUUUGUUGCUCCCUUGUUAAUAUUAGCAAGUAUUUGUUGCUUUUGUUCAAUGGUGUUUGGGUUCCUUAAUGGAUUUAUUGAGCUUUCGGUAUCUAGCUAGAUUUUACCAUCGGAUUUUGAUUUUCUUUUUGGUUUGGUUCUAAUAUGGUGUGGUUCUCAUCGGAAAUCAUAGAUCACGAUCUGAUUCCUGUAUGUUUUGAUUGAAUGGCCUAAUUUUCUAAUAUUUCCUCAUUUCCCAUUUUGGUUUGGAUGUGAGUUCAAG
rnacentral:lncRNA from 1 species